AAGCAGUGGGAGCCUCUUUAUGGGGUGACUGCGUACCUUUUGUAUAAUGGGUCAGCGACUUAUAUUCUGUAGCAAGGUUAACCGAAUAGGGGAGCCGAAGGGAAACCGAGUCUUAACUGGGCGUUAAGUUGCAGGGUAUAGACCCGAAACCCGGUGAUCUAGCCAUGGGCAGGUUGAAGGUUGGGUAACACUAACUGGAGGACCGAACCGACUAAUGUUGAAAAAUUAGCGGAUGACUUGUGGCUGGGGGUGAAAGGCCAAUCAAACCGGGAGAUAGCUGGUUCUCCCCGAAAGCUAUUUAGGUAGCGCCUCGUGAAUUCAUCUCCGGGGGUAGAGCACUGUUUCGGCAAGGGGGUCAUCCCGACUUACCAACCCGAUGCAAACUGCGAAUACCGGAGAAUGUUAUCACGGGAGACACACGGCGGGUGCUAACGUCCGUCGUGAAGAGGGAAACAACCCAGACCGCCAGCUAAGGUCCCAAAGUCAUGGUUAAGUGGGAAACGAUGUGGGAAGGCCCAGACAGCCAGGAUGUUGGCUUAGAAGCAGCCAUCAUUUAAAGAAAGCGUAAUAGCUCACUGGUCGAGUCGGCCUGCGCGGAAGAUGUAACGGGGCUAAACCAUGCACCGAAGCUGCGGCAGCGACACUAUGUGUUGUUGGGUAGGGGAGCGUUCUGUAAGCCUG
rnacentral:rRNA from 1 species